rnacentral:rRNA from 1 species
UACAGAGGUCCCAAGCGUUGUUCGGAUUCACUGGGUUUAAAGGGUGCGUAGGUGGCUUUGUAAGUCAGUGGUGAAAUCUUAGAGCUUAACUCUAAAACUGCCAUUGAUACUGCUUAGCUUGAAUCAAGUAGAGGUGGAUGGAAUAUUACAUGUAGCGGUGAAAUGCUUAGAUAUGUAAUAGAACACCGAUUGCGAAGGCAGUUCACUAUGCUUGUAUUGACACUGAGGCACGAAAGCGUGGGGAUCAAACAGG